CGAGAUUGAGAUCAAUCCUGCUGAAUCGUUCAUCGUUUUCAUCGAUUUGCUGGAACCCUAGCUCCUCUGUUCAUUCAUUGAUUUGCUGAUUUAUCCUCCUCUAUUUUAAUGAUGUCUACUACUGUCGAUGGAGUUCGUAUCUGUCCAACUACUGGUAAUCAGUAUUAUACUCCUAUUGUUCCAGAUUCUUCCAAACCUGUAGUUGGUAUGCAUUUCCAGUCAAUUGAUUCUGCCUUUAAUUUCUAUAAGAAGUAUGCUAAGUUAUCUGGGUU